UUUUGGUUACCUUUUUAUUUUCUGCAACUUAGCCGGAAUCUGGGAAUCUCGCUGGAGAAGAUGAAGGCUCCGGUGGCUUCAUCAUGUCCAGUUUGAAUCUGGACCGUUGGAUGUGAUCUCCAGAUUCAAUCAUAGCCAUUGCUUGUUAUGACCUUUUAUUCUUUCCCAUGUGGUGGCAUUGACUGUGGUGUUUCGUGAGCGCGC
rnacentral:lncRNA from 1 species